ensembl:lncRNA
AAUAAAGCAAGUAUAGCAUUUAUAUGCAAGUAAUGGGAAUUGAAAUAUUCCUAUGACACAUGAAGUCGAACUAAUCAUUUUGCUCUAUUUUUGCUUGUGUGUGUGUGUGUGUGUGUGUGUGUGUGUGUGUGUGUGUGUGUGUGUGUGUGUGUGUGUGUGUGUGUGUGUGUGUGUGUGUGUGUGUCUGUUUUCAUAACUGUCCACAGCAUGUUUUGUUCAAUCACCGGACAGUCAGUCGGUCUGAACGCACCUAUAGGCCAAAUCUGAAGAAGUCGUUUGAAUGUUGUGAUUGGACGUCUGUCAGCUGGAGACCACACAGUCAGACCACACAGAGUCUGGGUCGGCCCCGGCCCCUCGCACGCAACACAACCCCGCCGCACACUCGCUGCAGAGGGCACGUUUCAUUACGCGCUCCCGCACUGGUGUUUUCCAUGAAUGUGUGUUUACAUAAAGCACUGAGUGAACUGCAUUUUGUUGAGAUGUACAUUAAAUGAAUUACAGUUCAAAGAGUGUCUAAUGGAUUUCUCAUGAGAAAGCAUGAACAACACGAC